CACGUAGGGCGCAAGCGUUGUCCGGAAUUAUUGGGCGUAAAGAGCUCGUAGGCGGUCUGUUACGUCUGCUGUGAAAACCCGGGGCUUAACCCUGGGCUUGCAGUGGAUACGGGCAGACUAGAGUGCGGUAGGGGAGACUGGAAUUCCUGGUGUAGCGGUGAAAUGCGCAGAUAUCAGGAGGAACACCGGUGGCGAAGGCGGGUCUCUGGGCCGUAACUGACGCUGAGGAGCGAAAGCAUGGGGAGCGAACAGG
rnacentral:rRNA from 1 species